GGCAGCCAAAUGCGUUGGUGAAUAAGUUCUCUACCCUUUUGUCAGUGCGGAACGCGACUUUGAAAUGCCUGCAGCUAGUGGCAAUGCAGCGGAAAAAUGCCAUAAAAACAUAAAUAUAUUCACAAAAAGUUGAACUUCAAAUAAAAGCUGGUACAAAUAAACAAAUCUAUAAAUAAUGGCUGUAAAAUAAAAUGUAGUGCGUGCGUGCAAAAGUGAAGGAAAAACAUUUAUUGACUAUUUUAAACAUUAAAAAAAAUUUUAAGCGUUUUAAAAAGGGUUUAAGAAGGAGCAGAAAAAUAAUUAAAGUCACAGUUUAAACUAGAAACUCAAAUAAAAAUUCAAAUAAAAAACUUUUUCACUAGAGUUUGAACUUAUAAACUAUAUUCUGGAGAUAUUUUCAACAUAAAAAUAAAUUGAGAACAACACAUACCAAAAAAAAUAAAUAUCUUUAUCUCUUUAUGUAAAAUUGCCCAAAAAAGCGUUCCAAAUUUGUUUGUGCUGGAAUUUUUCUUAAAUUAAUUUAUUUCUAUGCCCAUUUUUUUAAUUUUGUUAAAUAAAUCAUUCUCAAAUUGACAAAUAACUCUGUGUUUAUAAAAUGUUUCUCUUAAAAUUCAGUUACUUAAAACUUUAUAAGCUUUUUUCUUACCAAAAAUACCUUAAAAUCAUAUUUAAACAAGCUGAAAUUAAGCCAGACUAAAAUUAAACAUUUCUGUGCUGCAAUUUUCAUUAUGAAAAUCAAUUGAAGGCAAUUAAAACGCAUUUUCUGUGCAAUUGAUGAUGACCUACGACAAAGGAAAUGAAGUCAUACCCAUACACACACACGAAUCGCACACACACACACACACACACACACACGAGCACCGAAAAGCAAAGUGCAGGCCAAAAGCGAAUGAGCAAAAACAAAAAAAACAAGCAGGGGGCCCUACGAAAGCCAACAACAACAAAUUGAAAAUUGCACUGCGCAUGCACAUGCACACACACACAUGCAGGAAACUUUAACCCACACAGAUAGGCCAACUGAGCGAAACUGCAGUGGUAUGCGUGCGCUUUUGUUCGCUUGCGGAAAGAAGAAGCAGCUGGAAAAAGUACUUAAAAAUAUAAUUAAAAUUGGAAAAUUGCUCUAUAGACUCUUUGAAUAUAUCCAAGAAAUUCAAAGACAUUGCAAUGUAUUAAUAAUUAAUUAAUUCAUUUUAUUUGUGAUCCCUGUUUUCAUUUUUUAUAUUUUUUAAAUGCGCGUCAUGCCAACGGCAGUUGAAUGCACUUGGUUUUUUUCUCGAAGGGGGAAGCCAUUGGUUUGAUAAUAAAAAUGUACGGAUUAAUCGCUUCUUCCAAUACAUAUGUAUAAUAGAUCAAGCAGAUGAUUUUCUGGCCCAAAGAAUUUUUUAAAGCCUUUUUAGGUAAUACCAAUUCUACGAAACUUGUUAGUGAUAGUCCUUACCUUUAUAAAUAUUGAAAAACUUAGAAUUAAAUAAAAUAAAUCGUUUUUUCAUAGUAAAAGUCUUAAAUUUUUAAAUUAAUAGUACCAUAAGCCAUUAAAUUCUGCUGCUCUAUUAAAUAUUUUGCAAUAUUGUUUGUUUUUCUCUGAAAUCGUAAAACUUAUUCACAGUUUUCAAGUCUCAACAAUUUAAAAUAGCCCCAUUAAAAACCCUUACCUUCCAUGCAAAUAUUAUUUUAGUUCUGACUCAUAGUCCAGCGUUUCCUUUCGACCUUGGCUGAAGUAUUUAAAGUAGAAUGGGCAGUGCAAUUAUUAAAUUCUCUGCGAGCCCCAGAGGCAUUCCAUUGCACUUGGCGGCCAUUUCCUCAUGUUGUGUAUCUACAACUGGAAUUACUCAUCAUCAGCAUUUCCAUAGAAAUCAAGGCGCACAACAAAAAGAAUGCCACUAAAGUGGGGUAUUAAAUAUACAACGAAAAAACAAUUAUUAAAUCCUGAACAUACAAUACGAUUUAGGGGAAACAUAUCGUUAAAAUAUUUGCCAUACUUUGUGAAGGACUUGAAAGCAUCAUCAAUAUGUUUACAAACUCGAAAGUAAAUGUGAAUUUAUAGAAUCCUUUCAGGACUUGAAAACUUUGCAAACAAAACGGAAAAUAUAUGAAAAUGGCAGCACUUUUUCCAACUUCCUUUUUUUUUUUUCGUACCAUUUGAACUCCUUAUUUUUGUUGGGCAGGCGAGAAAGGGAUGGGUAGCGGUGCCAAAGGACAAUGGUUCAAGUGCAAAGAGGAUGCCAAGCCGCAUGCAACAAUGCCAACAACAACAACAAGGAACGCCGAGCGAACGCCGAAGGACAUGCCGUGCAAUUUCCUUUUUCUGUGAUUAUUCGAUAGUGAUGUGACCACGAAGAUUCAUUGUAACCAUAAUAACCAUAAACGUAAAUAUGUGUUUAUACCUGUUAAACCUGAUCUAAAGGAAACAAUAGCAAUCAUGACUCAGAAGAACCCGGAUGACAUUUCUAUUGUCCUGCUGGAAUUUCACAACAUUACCAAAUGGAUUUAAACGAGUUUGCACCCAGAUGGGGUGAUUCGACCAUUCCGAUUCAAUUUCAAUCACCGCCUAAAUAAUUUCUAAUCCAACACGAAAUGGUGCAUACUUACAUAUGGACCAUUAACAGAAACCCGUAAAUCCGAACUUGUGCUGUUUUAUAUCUGUUACAAGACCGGCAUUAUGGGAGUCUGUCAAUGCAAACAACUGGUUUUUGGCAACAAAAUCGAAUGACAUAUCAAAAAACUGUAAUAAUGGCGGAGUAAGGAUUAAAAGUUAAAAAGCGAUUAUAACUAUAAAAAUAAUAAUAUGACCAGAAUAACUAUAAACCAAUAUUAUUCAAAAUUAAUAAUGUUGAUAA